UUGGAGGGCAAGUCUGGUGCCAGCAGCUGCGGUAAUUCCAGCUCCAAUAGCGUAUAUUAAAGUUGUUGCAGUUAAAAAGCUCGUAGUUGAAUUUCGGGGUCAGUAGAUUGGUCAUGCCACCGGUAUGUACUGGUCUCACUGAUUCCUCCUUCCUGAUGAGCCGUAAUGCCAUUAAUUUGGUGUUGCGAGGAAUCUGGACUGUUACUUUGAAAAAAUUAGAGUGUUUAAAGCAGGCUAACGCUUGAAUACAUUAGCAUGGAAUAAUGAAAUAGGACGUUCGAUCCUAUUUUGUUGGUUUCUAGGAUUGACGUAAUGAUUAAUAGGGAUAGUUGGGGGCAUUAGUAUUCAAUUGUCAGAGGUGAAAUUCUUGGAUUUAUUGAAGACUAACUACUGCGAAAGCAUUUGCCAAGGAUGUUUUCAUUAAUCAAGAACGAAAGUUAGGGGAUCGAAGACGAUCAGAUACCGUCGUAGUCUUAACCAUAAACUAUGCCGACUAGGGAUCGGAUGAUGUUAAUUUUUUAAUGACUCAUUCGGCGCCUUACGGGAAAC
rnacentral:rRNA from 1 species